UACGUAGGGUGCGAGCGUUAAUCGGAAUUACUGGGCGUAAAGCGUGCGUAGGCGGUUCGUUAAGUCUGUUGUGAAAGCCCCGGGCUCAACCUGGGAAUGGCAAUGGAUACUGGCGAGCUAGAGUGUGUCAGAGGAUGGUGGAAUUCCCGGUGUAGCGGUGAAAUGCGUAGAGAUGUGGAGGAAUACCGAUGGCGAAGGCAGCCCCCUGGGAUAACACUGACGCUCAUGCACGAAAGCGUGGGAGCAACAGG
rnacentral:rRNA from 1 species